rnacentral:rRNA from 1 species
AGUGAACGCUGGCGGUAGGCCUAACACAUGCAAGUCGAACGGCAGCACAGUAAGAGCUUGCUCUUACGGGUGGCGAGUGGCGGACGGGUGAGGAAUACAUCGGAAUCUACUUUUUCGUGGGGGAUAACGUAGGGAAACUUACGCUAGUACCGCAUACGACCUACGGGUGAAAGCAGGGGAUCUUCGGACCUUGCGCGAUUGAAUGAGCCGAUGUCGGAUUAGCUAGUUGGCGGGGUAAAGGCCCACCAAGGCGACGAUCCGUAGCUGGUCUGAGAGGAUGAACAGCCACACUGGAACUGAGACACGGUCCAGACUCCUACGGGAGGCAGCAGUGGGGAAUAUUGGACAAUGGGCGCAAGCCUGAUCCAGCCAUACCGCGUGGGUGAAGAAGGCCUUCGGGUUGUAAAGCCCUUUUGUUGGGAAAGAAAAGCAGCAGGUUAAUACCCCGCUGUUCUGACGGUACCCAAAGAAUAAGCACCGGCUAACUUCGUG